GCUCCAGGCCAACCUCCAAGGCUACAGGGAAACCCUGUCUUGAAACACCCCCCAUAAAAAUAAGAUCCCCAAAUAAAUGGUCAGGGUCACAAAUUGUGCAACACCAGCGAGUACAAUGAGUGGUGGACAGGGCCAAGGAGGGAGGAUCUGGGUCUCCUUAUAUUCUGGAUUGGGGAAGGGCUUAUGGGGACUUGCAGAGCCUGGGUGGGGGAACUAUAGGAGCAUGAGAAGACCCAGGCCUCAAAGCUGACUGCCCAAUGGAUGAACAUGGUGUGGUAGCCCAGCAUGGCCCUGCCUUGUGUUGGUGGCCUGCAAAUGUGUGUCUUGGUCUCUCCUGAUUGAACUGGCACACAGAACUUGUGUCUUCAGCUCGGCUGUAGUUAGGCCAAGCCCUGUGUGGGACUAGAAAUAUCUGUGCUCACUUUGGCAGCACAUGUACUAAAAUUGGGACUAGAGCUCUCCCAUUGCUUGUCUAGUAGAUCAGGUGUGCAUACCCAUCUAGACUUGAAGAAUGGAAACAUGGCCUUGUAGGCUGGUCUGGGUUCCUCACUUUGCAGGAAUGGAUCACAGUCUAUGGCAGAUCAGCAAGGCCUGCGACUAUGAGAUUGUAUGGGGAGCUGAGGAACUUAGGCACUCACCUGUCUUUGCUUGCCUACCUGGGAAGAUGACCCCUUCUUGUCCUAUGAGUUUACAUCAGGGUGAGAUCAUAAAGUUCUAGAACACUCCAAUGUGGGGCUGGUGUGCAAUCUAGAUGAACCUAGCACUUUCUGGGGAUCUGGAUAGAGCAUAGUGACUGCUACAUGUUAUGCCGUCACCAGGACAGGGUUCUUUUUGCCCGGGCACAUACAUGUGAAGUAUUGGUACAGUGUAAGUAGGGAAUUGACCAGACCAGAAUCCCUGGGGAGCUGGCAUGCAGACCACACGAUGCCAGCUAAACCUAUUAGUGUUGUGAAAUUGGGGAUUCGUGGAGUCUCUGCUCCCUCUCUGGACUGUUUGGGAUUGUAGACUACCUCAAGUAGGCCUCUGGUUUCAAAGAAGCCCAGAACUGGUGGGAUGUGGAACACUCACCUGCCUCAGUGCUGUGAAGUCCAACAGAGACCUUGUCUUAUGGCAGUGGUUCUCAAACUGUGGGUAAAGACCCUAACAGAAACCAUGAAUCAAAGUUAUUCAGUUGACGAUUCAUAACUGUAGCAAAAUUACAGUUAGGACUCCCCAAGGUAAAUCAUUUCAUGGUUGGUGGUCACCACAACCUGAGGAGCUGUAAUAAAGGGUGCCAGCAUAAAGAUUGUUGAAACCCACUGCAUUAUGGUUUUAAGGAAGGGGGGUUAGGGUCUAGUUGCUAUCCAGGAUUGGAAGGUGGAAGGCCAUAUGCCCACAGCAAGGUGUUGGCAACAAUGGUGAUGUAUGAUUAUCUUAGUCACUCAAGAGGCUUUCGUGUUGUACAGUCUUGUGUACCCUACACAGGCCUCCAUACAGGGUGGGCAUGACAUGGCUGAGUGGGAAGCUACAGAGCAUCUCCCAGGAUGGUCUGACUGUAAGCACUUGGAUCCCAGCUGAUUCUGGAUGAUCAAAUUGGGGGAAAUUGGGAACCCAGACACCCAACUAACUGGUCAGGUCCACAAAACAGUGCAACACCAGCUAGGCCACAGCAGGAUGGAUAGGGCCAAGGAGGGUGUAUCUGGGUCCCACUCUGUUUUGGAUUGGGGACAUAGUUGAGGGACCCAGGUAGGCCUGUGAAGGAGGGAUUGCUUGAGCAUUACUGGUCCCUGACCUCCAAACUUUGUGGCCUAAUACACAAGUUGUGGUAGCCAAGCAAGGCUCUGAACGUUUGUGGUGGUUUACUGUAAAUGUGUGUCUUGGUCUUACCUGUAUGGACUGGCACACAGAACCUGUGUCCCCAAAUCUUCUAUGCACUGUGGAGUAAGAGGCAUGAAUGUGUGGGACUAUAGUUCUCCCCUGCUUGUCCAGACCACAACGUGUGCAUGUCCAUGUAGACCUGGGUGAAUGGGAUCAUGGCCUAUGAGGAAGCUCUGGUUCCUCUCUUUUUGGGAAUGGGCCAGUCUGUGGAAAACUGUUGAGGCCUGGGACAAUAGGAUUGUAUGAGGAGCUGAGAAGCUGAGGAACUGAGGCACUUAUAUAUCUCAGCUUGUAUAUCUGGGGAAUUGCUCCAAGUAAGCCCUUUUACCAUGUGCUAUUUUGAGAGUAUAAAUUUCUAGAACACUCCAUAGCUACCUACCUGUUGUACUUUAUGGAUCAUUCUUGCUGUUUCAAAUCCAGAUAGUUUAGUAUUAUAUAAGCAUUCAUUGUUGACCAAUAUGAUUGUUCUAAUAUUUCUAGCUGAUUCUGAAAGAUCAAAUAUAGGGAUUCUGGGGACAUAAGACUACCAGCUCUCUGGCCAAUUUCUGAAAUCUCUACAAGUCCAGCCCAGCCAGUUAGUGAUGGGCAGGGUCAAGGAUCUUCUGACCCUCUCUUGUUUGGGGAAUUUUUGUGCAACUUCUCAUAGUCUAUGUAGGGGUGACUUCAUGAGUAUGAAGGGAACCAAGCUUCUAUGUUGGUUUGUUUGAUGCCCAUUUUGAGGAACCUCUCAAUCUCUGAACGGUAGUGAUUGCCUCCAAAUAUUUCUCUUGUUCUUCAUGUUUGGAUUGGCACACAUGUAUGUCCUCAGUAAAGCUCUCCCUUGUGAAGUCAGGCAGACAUUUUUUGGUCUAGAGAUCUCCCCUUGUGGUCUACUUUACAAGGUGCGCAUAUCCAUUUAGACCUGGGAGAAUGGGAACAUGGCCUGUGAAGACAGCCCCAGUUUCUUCCCUUUGCUGGAAUGGAGCACAGGGUAUAGGUACCCAAGUAGGCUGUGAGUGUGGGUUUGCAUGAGGAGGUGAGAUUCUGUUCCCCUAAACUCUCCUGGGCUGGUAUACCUCAAUCAUGACCUGAGCUAGGCCUUAUAAUAUGGGAAAAUAUCCUCCGAGGUCAUGUCUUCAUUACUCUAUGCUGGGUUGAUCUGAAUCUGUGGGACCUCAGCUAGCGUUGUGAUUGUAGGAUUUCAUGAGAAUUUGUUAUCUAGGGAACUCAGCAUGUUGGGCUAUUGCAUAUGCAUCAUGUUGUUAGCUGUGCCUAAAAGUGUGGAGCUAUUUAGUUUUGAUGCAGUCAUGAGACACUCAAUAAAGGUGGGCUGGUUUGUGGCUGCAUGAUCUCUACCUUCUCUGCAAACUUGUAGAAAGCCAAGCUGUGGUGGUUUUUAGUUAGUUACCAGGAUGUGAUAUUGCACAGGUAUCCUUACCCAGACCAGGAGUAUAACCAUCUUUUUGGAAAGCAUGAUACUGGAUCAGUCUCAUUGAUUUAUCUAGUGUGCAGAAUGCAAGAUACUAGUUAAUCAUGGGUGUGUAAGAACUGGGCAGUUUUGUGUGAGCCUGUUUCUCAGUCUGCUGUGGUAGCAUGCUGAUUGCUACAUUAUCUAUUCCUGGGAAUAUCAAGGGAAAGGGGCAUGCUGGGUUCAGGAGCACUUACCUGGCUCAUCUGGUUGGCAAGCUGUGAGAACCAGCAUAGGCCUGGGAUUUUUAGGCCAAACAGGUGGGUGAACCUAUGGGUCACUCUCCAGGAUGGGUAGGUGUUAGGUAGUGUGUGGCCCAUGCUGAGACUUGGUAUAUGUGGUCAAUUGUGGCAGCUGGCUAUUUGGGGUCCAUCACUAGGUAUUUUUUGUUGGUUAUCAUUUGCUUUGUUUCUUGAAGUUAUUUUUCAAGUAUCUUCCAGGUAGUUUGUAGGUUUUUCCCCCUUGAUAUUCCUGUGUAGGAAUAGAAUUUUUCUAGUUGUUCCAGCUUUGUGUUUUUUCAACUAUAAAUUCAGGAUGAUCUUGUACUCACUAUUUUCCUACAGUGCUAGCUAGCAACUCUUUAGUAUGUGUAUCUGAGCUUUACAACAUCCACAUAGUAAACACAUCUCUACAGAAAGAUGAAUUAAUAGGUGUAUUAUCUUAUAUACCUGCUUUUUGUGACAAAAACAGCUAAAAUCCACUUAUUUAAUAAAAUCCCUAAAUACAAUAUGGUCUUAUUAACUAUAGUACUCAUGCUGCCAUACAUUAAGUCCUUAUAUUUGCUUCUCCUACACAUCUGCUACUUCAGGAUUCCUGUACAACAAUUCUCUCCACUUCAGCAUAGUGAAGGUUCCCUUGCAGAGCAAGUGUGAGUCCACCCUGCUACAUUUCUAACUUCACUCAAGUCUUGACAGUAUAUAGAGAAACAUAAAGAAUAUGCUAAUUGGUACAAAGUUCUAGGCAAGGACAGCCAAGUUGAUGAGCCCAGUUUGUUCUCUUCUACACAGUUUUGCAUUCCUAUCUAUGCCUAUUUCUAUGGAUGUAUUCUAUUUUCAUGCUGUAUGUUUUGGGUUUUUACUCUGUAUCCUGUAUCUGUAUCCAACUUGAGAAGGAGACUGCAAGUGUAGCAUGGAGAACACACUGUAAUUAUGGUAAGACAAUGGACAAUUCAGGAACUGCUCUCUAAAAGGUGAAUCGAUCUCAGAAGCAAUCAUUGAAACCCUCCCUAAAACAUCAGGAAUUCAUUAGAGUACAGUGAGGCUUUCUAUGGGCAAAGCCAAUGUCUACCUAGGAUAGAGGAUCUGGGAAUGUCUGUCUGUCUAAACUCAGGCCUUUCAUCAGGCCAAACAUACCAAGAAAACUUAGCCUUGUAACUUAUAAAAAGUCACCUGUGGGUGAAAUACCCUUUUCAUAUGAAUACUAUGAGUACUGGGCUUGGUAGUAUACUCAUGUAAUCCUAGCAUUAAAAAGACCAAAGCAAUAGGAUUACAGCCCAGUCUGGGUUGUAUGAUAAGAACCUGUCUAAAAAUGGCUAAUGCAUAUUACUUUUACUCAUACUUGCUCUUCUUUCUUUGGAAUAUCCCUGGGUCUCUGAACUCCAUUUGGCUCAACAUCCUGUCUUCUUAUACUCAACUGAGGAACACUUUUGGACAUUUGUAUCUGGAUUUCCUUCGGGCUUGGUGUUUGGUAUUUCUUAUGUAGACCUCCACACCGUAAUUACAGGUGUUUUUAACCAGAAAUGCCACCCAUUAGCUCUGUCAAGAAGAACAGCUAGUCAACAUGCCACCACAUUCCAAAAACUUGCUUAGUAACUGGCCACAAGCUGAAGUCCCAAGAUCAGCUGGACAUGAAGAAUCACUUCUUCAUAUUUCCAUAAAUGCUAGUUUGGCUGUGCUUGUAUUCCAUGGUAUUUGGGAGACUGAGGUGGGAGAAUUACUUGAGUCAAAGAACUGAGUUGACCAUCCUGAACAACAUUGUAUGACUCCAUCUCAAAUCAAAACCAACCAACACCAGAAAAGAAAUUCAUAGAGUUUCUAGUGAGCUUGCUGAAGAAAAGAAUUGUAUUGCUAAAUGUUAAGGGAUAAUGUUAUUAAUAUUUUAUAUUGAUGGUAUUUUAUUAUAUAAGACACAAAAAUAUUCAUUCUGAAUAACACACAUUCUUAAGUGAACUUUUGGAAUGGGUGAGAUACUUAUAUGUACACAUGUGAUGAGAUAGUAUUUGUGGCGUUUUAGACUGAUAUUGUUGUUCAUAGUAUACUGAUGGUUCAUUGUAUAUCUUUUCAUUAAGUUGUAUAAGAUUGGUGGAUUGGAAUUUACAAGUAAGAUGGUGGAUUAAAAGCUACAUCUGAGUCAGUAGAUAAAAAUGUUAUGAUAAAAACAUAAUAAAUCCUAUUUAUAUACAAGAAAGACUAAAAAAAUAAAAAGCCAAAGUCUGAAUUUCUCUACAGUGAAGGAGCCAGGUCCACCAGAAAUCAAUUGUGGUACUACUCCCACUGACUGACAUAAGCUGCCAGCCAUGUGUUCUCACAGGUGACACCAUGAAAGCCCAAGAGAAAAGGCCUGGGCUGUGUAAACACAACUGGAUGGAUAGAAAUGCCAUAUAUAGAACAGGUUGUGAGUAGUAGAAACGUAGUUUGAAAACCUAAAGAUCACUACACAUUAAUAAAGGGAUAAUUGAUCAAGAAGAUUAGAAUAUUAUUAACAUUUAUGCACCAAAUGUCAGGUACAAUCAGCGGGAAAUUUCAAAAUUCUCAUCUUUAGACACAUAUUUCAAACUAAAAAUCAACAAAGAAACAGUUUAAGCCAAUAACACCAUAGAGCAAUUGCAUUUAACAGAUACUUACCAAGUAUUCUAUCCAACUAAUAGGGAACGCACAUUAUUCUCAGCAGCACAUAGGGCUCGCUCUAAAACUAUGCACAUUAUAGAAUACAAAGCAAAAAUUGAAUUACUUACAUUUUAUCAGAUAACAGUAGAAUAAAAGCAGCUACACAAAUAGUACUGAGCAAUACAUUUUUGAAUGAACAGUGGAUCAUUGAGGAAAUCGAGGAAAGUUUUUGAAAUGCUAAAAACAAAUGAAAAUUAUGAUAUAACCUACCAAAACUUAUGGGAUUCAAAAAGACAUAAGAGUAAGGAUUAUAGCUCUAAGUGCUGACAUUUGAAAAAAAUCAAUGAGAUCACUUACGUUAAAAAAUUAAUGACAUCACAAAUAAAUGACCUAAUUAUAUACCUCAAGGUUCUAGGAAAACAAGAAGUCAAACUCAGAUGAUAUAAAUGUCAAGAAGUAGACACUAAUAAUAUACAGAGUCAAUCAAACAGAAAGUUAGUUAUUUGAAAAGAGACAGAUCGGAAAUCUAAAGAAAAAUAGAUAAUAUCUAAAUAAGAAAAAUUGGAGGUGAAAAAUAAGCUCUUACAGCAGACUCUAAUAAAAUCCUGAGGGACAUUAGGGAAUACUUUGAAACCUCAUAUUCUAAAAAGCUAGAAAACUGGGGCUGGAUAUGUAGCUCA